rnacentral:tRNA from 1 species
ACCUGGCUGGCUCGAUUGGUGGAGUGUGGGACUCUUGAUCUCAGGGUUAUGAGUUCAAACCCUAUGUUGAGUG